CCUUUUUUUUUUUUUUUAUUUUUAUUUUUAUAUCCUGUAUACAAAAUUUCUUCCAGAAGGAGUGUUUCGAUUGCAUAGGUUUAUUCAUCUUUUAAGUAAAACAUCCAAAGUAUCACCUCAUCGCAACCCGUUAAUUUUGAUUUAUUUCCAAUAAAUGAAAAUAGAAGGAAAUAAUGGUAAAACAUUUUCAAAUUAAAUGAUUACACAAAAUGUAUCCGGAACAGAAUCUGUGGUCAUCAAUUCAUAAUCAGUGAUUAUAAACAAGAUUCAGUAUACCUAUAGUAGAUGUUAUGGCCAGAGGCUCUUACAAAACAUAAUCUAAGCCACUUGUGUGGGAUACAGAAGUAUUCAGAUAUUUUCUACAACUUUAGAAUUUUAGAAAAAUAUAUUGCUCCAACAAUGAGUUUGAAGAAAAUGAUGAAACAUUGAUUGGAUUUGGAGACGUUACUGUUGAUGAUUUUAAUUCAUACAGAAAAGCCUUAAUAAUGUCUAAUUCACAUACAUUUAUUAGAUUAUACUUAUAAUGGUUAUCCAAACUGAAAUAUAUGAUGUACCACAUACAAGAAACUAGGAAGUCGAGCCAAUGUGAUGACAAUUUCUCAGACGUUAACUUUCUUGAAGAUAAUUCUGGCGGCUCAGAUGAAGCCAAUAUUAAAUAUAAUGAUUCGACGAUGAGUUUGAAGAAAAUGAUCAGAUUUAUAUUGGAAUUGGAAACGUUACUGUUGAUGACUUUAUUUCACACAGAAGAGCCUUAGUAAUGUUCAAUUCACACUAUUAUUUCUUACAGUGGAUUAUACUUGUUAUGUUUUUCCAAACUGAAAUAUAUGAUGUACCACAUACAAGGAACUAGGAAGUGGAGCCAAUGUGAUUACAAUUUUUCAGACGUUGACUUUCUUGAAGAUAAUUCUGGCGGCUCAGAUGAAGCCAUACAAUGUUGGAGUGAUUUAUGAAACUUA